rnacentral:rRNA from 1 species
AACAAAUAAUUACAGAAACAAAAUUAUUCGCCAGAGUACUACCGGCAACAGCCCGAAACUCAAAGGACUUGGCGGUGCUUUAUACCCUUCUAGAGGAGCCUGUUCUAUAAUCGAUAAACCCCGAUAAACCUCACCAAUCCUUGCUAAUACAGUCUAUAUACCGCCACUUCAGCAAACUGAUU